rnacentral:antisense_RNA from 1 species
AGAUCAGCCCUGGGGUUCAGAGGGAUCCUGACGGCUACUCCUCAAGAUCCUCUCUGUUGUGAUUCAUCCCCCCCAGGCCCUACAGUUUCUCCUUCCUGACUCUUACAUUUCUUUGGAUGGCAUCACUAUUAUGAGGAAAUAGAGGCUCAGAAAAUACCUGUCUCCUCCCAUAGUUAGUUGCCAAGCACUGUGGAUUCUACCCCUCAGGGUCCAGACACCCAUUUUCCUUCCCACUGUUCCCUCCCCAUGGAGAAGCCUGUGGCUGACUGACAGCUCAACUUGGAGAAGGUGUUACCUGGGCCAGGUGGGGAAGGUAGGGUUGUUUGCAGAGCAAAGAAGUGAAGGAAGUAUUAACCCUUUGCAUGGCCUCCUGAGAAUCUGACAAGACGUAAAUAGCCAAGAAUAUCUGUGGAACUUAAUCAGUGAGUUACAAUAUUUAUCACUGCAAGUGUGUUGUUCAUUGACACUAUAAAGCCAUAUGGAAUUAAGCAGCCUUGAAACACAAAAUGGAGAAAGGCUAAGAGCUGAGAAUUGUUGCCUUCAGGGAAAUAUAAUCAAUGUCAAGCAAACAACCACCCCAAAAUGGUUAGCUUUAUCAGCAUUCAGGCCUACAGUGAAAGCAAAUGUUCCAGAUCUGAGUUUCAAUUUUUAAAGAAUAAA